rnacentral:rRNA from 1 species
AAUAACUGGCGGCGGCUUACACAUGCAGUCGAGCGGUACAUUUCUAGCUUGCUAGAAGAUGACGAGCGGCGGACGGGUGAGUAAUACUUAGGAAUCUACCUAGUAGUGGGGGAUAGCUCGGGGAAACUCGAAUUAAUACCGCAUACGACCUACGGGAGAAAGGGGGCAACUUGUUGCUCUCGCUAUUAGAUGAGCCUAAGUCGGAUAGCUAGAUGGUGGGGUAAAGGCCUACCAUGGCGACGAUCUGUAGCUGGUCUGAGAGGAUGAUCAGCCACACCGGGACUGAGACACGGCCCGGACUCCUACGGGAGGCAGCAGUGGGGAAUAUUGGACAAUGGGGGAAACCCUGAUCCAGCCAUGCCGCGUGUGUGAAGAAGGCCUUUUGGUUGUAAAGCACUUUAAGCAGUGAAGAAGACUCUUCGGUUAAUACCCGGAGACGAUGACAUUAGCUGCAGAAUAAGCACCGGCCAACUCUGUGCCAGCAGCCGCGGUAAU